rnacentral:rRNA from 1 species
CAAGGCUUGACAUACACCGGAAAGCAUUAGAGAUAGUGCCCCCCUUGUGGUCGGUGUACAGGUGGUGCAUGGCUGUCGUCAGCUCGUGUCGUGAGAUGUUGGGUUAAGUCCCGCAACGAGCGCAACCCUUGUCCUGUGUUGCCAGCAUGCCCUUCGGGGUGAUGGGGACUCACAGGAGACCGCCGGGGUCAACUCGGAGGAAGGUGGGGACGACGUCAAGUCAUCAUGCCCCUUAUGUCUUGGGCUGCACACGUGCUACAAUGGCCGGUACAAUGAGCUGCGAUACCGUGAGGUGGAGCGAAUCUCAAAAAGCCGGUCUCAGUUCGGAUUGGGGUCUGCAACUCGACCCCAUGAAGUCGGAGUUGCUAGUAAUCGCAGAUCAGCAUUGCUGCGGUGAAUACGUUCCC